rnacentral:rRNA from 1 species
UACGUAGGGUGCAAGCGUUGUUCGGAAUUACUGGGCGUAAAGCGAGUGUAGGCGGUUUCCUAAGUCAGGUGUGAAAGCCCCGGGCUCAACCCGGGAAGUGCACUUGAAACUGGGAGGCUAGAGUACUGGAGAGGUUGGUGGAAUUCUCGGUGUAGAGGUGAAAUUCGUAGAUAUCGAGAGGAACACCGGUGGCGAAGGCGGCCAACUGGACAGAUACUGACGCUGAGACUCGAAAGCGUGGGGAGCAAAAGGG